rnacentral:rRNA from 1 species
AAGGGCACCACAAGAACGCGUGGAGCAUGUGGCUUAAUUUGACUCAACGCGGGAAAUCUUACCGGGUCCGGACACACUGAGGAUUGACAGACAUGUGUGUACGUAAAAAUACACACUGAAAGAUGCUAGUUCUUUCAUGAUUAUGUGAUAGGUGGUGCAUGGCCGUUCUUAGUUCGUGGAGAGAUCUGUCUGCUUAAUUGCGUUUCGUAUUUUUAAUGUCUGAUACGUAUCUAUAUACGUUUGAUGACUAGUUUCGAAAGCAACGAACGUGACCGUAUCCUUUUAUUGCGCAUGCAUAUGCUAUGCUAGCUCUUAAAGGGACCGCUGUUUCUUUCUUUUAAACCAGAGGAAGGUUACGGUAAUAACAGGUCUGUGAUGCCCUUCGAUGUUCCGGGCUGCACACGUGCUACAAUGAUUAUUUCAUUAAGUGCGAAUGUGUUUCAACCUACUCUGAGAAUGAGCGGGUAAUCAAUUAGAAGUAAUGAUUUCCAAGUGUUAUACGCAAUCUAUGUAGUACCAUAUACAUCCCGUGUAUUUUAUUAUACGCGCGUGUGUGUGUAUGUUUGUCACUACGCGUAUCUAUAUCAAUUCAUGGUGGGGAUAGACUAUUGUUAAUUGUUGGUCUCGGUUUUAACUAGGAAUGCCUUGUACGGGUCAUUGGUUCAACAAACCACCCGGAAUACGUCCCUGCCCUUUGUACACACCGCCCGUCGCUCUUACCGAUGAACUUCGCUAUGAAUCUAUUGGACUGCGUAUCAUUAUAUGCGGAAAGAUAUAUGAAUAGUGUGGUUUAAAGGAAAGAGAAGUCGUAACAAGGCAUCAGUAGGUGAACCUGCAGAAGGAUCA